rnacentral:lncRNA from 1 species
CUCAGGCUGGCUCUGAGCCUGAAGGCCAAACACAGACACACACACACACUGCUGCUCUGUGAGCCGAGCUUCUGUAUAACUGAUCUACGAGUCUAAAUAAGCUGUUUGUAGCUGGAGGGAAUCUGCACAUUCACCUUGAGGGACCUUCUGGGUCACAGUCUGCUGUCAUUUAAAAGCAAUGGAUUUUCCAUUAGUGACUAAGAAGGCAGAUUUCUUUUGUCUCACUGAUAAGAGCUGUUUGCCCGCUGGUGUUGACUGACCAGGCUGUGCCACUUGUGUGUUUCCUGGUGAACGUUCACUUCAGCUUCUUUCAGGGCAAUGGAUAACACCUGUACAUCCCAACACAAGAGAGGACACGCAAACCUCUGCAGAGCUUUGCUGCUGCUUUUUCUGGCAGGCCUUCAGCCAGUUCUGUCUUCACAUGGCGGGCACACUAAUCCAGAUAACCGUGGACUUAAUGUGGCAGUUCUUGGUCCGGACUAUGUGACUGUGGGAGUGCCCAGCAGCGUUGAGUGUGUUUCUAGCUGCGCUGCAUGCACCUACUCCAUGUCUCUGGAUGAACUGGAGGCCAAAGGUCAAGGCAAUGUGCUAGCCUUCACUGUAAGCACCUGGUUGGAGGCCUUAAACGUGACAUGCACCGUCACAAAUGAUAAAGGGCUGAAUGCUACAGCACAAAAGCGACUGCAGGUGUUGGCUGGACCUUCCAAUGUUUCCAUCACUGGCUCGAUGAACCACACUUACAGCUGCAACGCCUACUGCCGGCCAUCUUGUAGCUACAGCUGGCAGACAGAUAAGGGCCCGUGGAUUCUUGGUCAAGGGGACACAAUCUCGGUCACUCCUCAGGAGGUGGUCAAUGCCAGAAUUCUCAUCUGCAAAGCCACCAAUAGUGUGUCGGGGCUGUUUGUCAGUGCUACACAAAACAUAUGGUCUGAUCGCAGCCUGUCCGCUCGUCCUGAAAGAACUACAGCGUUGCUGCUGUUAGCCUUCAUCCUCUCUGUUGCCUUCACACUUUAAUCAGACAGCUUCUGUAAAUGAAGAAUGGAACAGCAACCAGUAAUCUCACACUUCACAUGCAUCAGUCUGACAUGUUGACAGUGGGUUGAGUCCUGUUUGCAGAGGGUGUGCACGAGGGAGAGUGCACAUUAGACGUCAUCAUCUUUGAUAUAUAGUUUAAAAGAGAUUUGUAAGACUGUUUCUGUAAGCAUUUCAAAAGAUAGUGUUGACAUUUACACUUAAUACGCUACACCUUUGCUUCUCGUACAUGUACACGGGACCUUUGCUCACACACUGUGCUCUCUCACCGUGAUAGAACUGUCAGCUGAGUGGAGUGGAGUGCCUUUAACACAAUGCAUGCUGGGACAUGUUCUGCCCUCUUUUCGACCCUGGACGAGAUUAGAUAUAAAAAAGUGUGUGCUUGAAUUUGAUGAACAAGAAUCUAUCAUGAUGUAAUGCUUAAUAAAAAUGAGCUCCUGCAAACA